AUACUAACAGACAUGUACACAUACAUGCACACAUUCACAUAGAUGUACCUACACAGUCACACAGACAUGCAUACAUAGGCACACACAGACAUGUACACAUACGUACACAGUCACACACACAGACAUGCACACACAAAGGCACAUACUAGCAGACAUGUACACAUACAUGCACACAUUCACAUAGACAUAUGUAAGCACACAGCCACACACUGACAGACAUGCACACACAUACAUGCACACAUUCACAUAGACAUACGUACACACAGUCACACACUGUCCAGACAUGCACAUACAAGGCACACAUACUAACAGACAUGUAUACAUACAUGCACACAUUCAUAUAGACAUACAGUCACACAGACAUGUACACACAUGCAUGACACGCACACACAUACUAACAGACAUGUACACAUACAUGCACACAUUCACAUAGACUUACAUAGUCAGACAUGUACACACAUGCAUAAUGACACGCACACACAUACUAACAGACAUGUACACAUACAUGCACACAUUCACAUAGAUGUACAUACACAGUCACACACACAGACAUGCAUACAUAGGCACACACAGACAUGUACACAUACAGUCACAAACACACAGACAUGCAUACAUAGGCACACACAGACAUGUACACAUACGUACACAGUCACACACAGACAUGCACACACAAAGGCACAUACUAGCAGACGUACACAGACAUGCACACAUUCACAUAGAUGUACAUAGUCACACACAGACAUGCAUACAUAGGCACACAGACAUGCACACAC
rnacentral:lncRNA from 1 species